AUAUAUUCCUGUAUGAAACUGAACACAGAAAAUGUCCCUAGCUUGCAGUGGAUUAAAAACGUCUGACGGUCAUUUCCUCUACAAAGAAUAGCGUGCAACAUGUAGUGCUGUCUAUAGCAACAAGUGCGCAAUCAAAGAUCCAUUUGUGACUGAAGAGGACUGAGAAAAUGUUGGAGUCUUAUGACACUGAAAUUUAAUGAAGAGCGUAUGUGCAGAGAUGUCGAGACUGCUGGCUAC